rnacentral:rRNA from 1 species
AUACGGAGGGUGCAAGCGUUAUUCGGAAUCACUGGGCGUAAAGGACGCGUAGGCGGGUUGGCAAGUCAGAUGUGAAAUCCUACAGCUUAACUGUAGAACUGCAUUUGAAACGGCUAACCUAGAGUAUGGGAGGGGGAGAUGGAAUUAGUGGUGUAGGGGUAAAAUCCGUAGAUAUCACUAGGAAUACCGAAAGCGAAGGCGAUCUCCUGGAACAUAACUGACGCUAAGGCGUGAAAGCGUGGGGAGCAAACAGGAUUAGAUACCCUAGUAGUCC